UCUUAGACAAUGGGCGCAAGCCUGAUCUAGCCAUGCCGCGUGAGCGAUGAAGGCCUUAGGCUUGUAAAGCUCUUUCAGGGGGGAAGAUAAUGACUGUACCCCCAGAAGAAGCCCCGGCUAACUCCGUGCCAGCAGCCGCGGUAAUACGGAGGGGGCUAGCGUUGUUCGGAAUUACUGGGCGUAAAGCGCACGUAGGCGGACGGAGGAGUCAGAGGUGAAAUCCCGGGGCUCAACCUUGGAACUGCCUUUGAAACUUUCUGUCUUGAGAUCGAGAGAGGUGAGUGGAAUUCCGAGUGUAGAGGUGAAAUUCGUAGAUAUUCGGAGGAACACCAGUGGCGAAGGCGGCUCACCGGGUCGAAAGCUGACGCUGAGGUGCGAG
rnacentral:rRNA from 1 species